GGAGGGGUACAGCUCAGUGGUAGAGCGAGUGCUUAAUAUGCACGAGGUCCCAGAUUCAAUCCCCAGUCCCUCCA
rnacentral:tRNA from 1 species